AGAUCCAAGCUUGUGUGGGCUUUCGUGCAUGUGUUCUUAGCAUUUGGACCGAAAGGGGAUGGGGAUUGGGUCUCAAGUGAGCACCCAUGUUCUAUCUUUCUCUGAGGAUUACCACUACAUGGGUCAUGGUACUCCUGAUGGGGGUAGCCCAUAAGCAAAGGGCUUAGGAGGCUGAGAGGCACAGGGCAGUGAAAGGGAGGAGAACCCUGGUGAACCAGGAAGAUCGGCAAGGCAGGACCAGAAGCUCUAGAGUUGAAGAAGGAUGUGUGUGGCUGAUGGAGUACCUUGAAGAAGAGCAUCAUGGGAUUCUACACCUGGCCAUAUCAGUCUGUCCGCCUGCAGGACUCUGAAGACCCUCCCUCCAGUAUUUCUCCAUUCCCAAGGGCUGUACAUGAGGCACAGUGACGAAGGGAGAGGACUCCUACACAGCACCAGAUAAAUCUGCUAUGAACAGACUCCUAAAGAAAAUAAUUUUCUCUGUUUUCCCGACAUUUUAUAUUUCCAGGUCCCUCUUAAAUCAAUACUCAUGUGGGAGGUGGUCCACAGGUCUUUGCAAUGAAAGUGACCCCGUAGGAAAUGAAUCUGAAAAUUCCAUUUAUUAAAACAAAUACACCGUUCAUGUGGGGUAAAGAUGCGCACAUCACAUUCAGGUUUUCCUGCUUUAACAUUUCUAAGCUGGGUGUGGUGGCUCAUGCCUUUAUUCUCGAGUCAGAGACAGGGGAAUCUCUGAGUUCGAGGCCAGCCUGGUCUACAGAACAAGUUCCAGGACAGCCAGAGCCACAUAGUAAGACCCUGUCUUGAAAAAACAAAAAACCAACACAAAACAAAAAAACCCAACUAAACAACCAAACAAAAAAACCCAAAAAGGAAAAACCCCACCAAAACACAAGACCCCCCAUUUUCUGUUUUCCCCUCUUUAAAGACACAUUCCACAGAUCUUAUACAGGAAAAGUGUUAAGCUCUGAACAAUUGUACAAUUGUUGGGCUGUGAGACAGUAAUAUACAUAUAAUUCGCCAUUUGCAGGAGCAGCUAGAAAUAAACACCAAGGGGAAAAAAACAUAAAAAAACACACUAAAGGUCACCAGCUUGAUUUUCUCAAAACUCACCGUGUGAAUACAAGGAUAUGGGAAAAAGUAUGAUACGUCUUCUUAAAUCCAAUGAUUUAAAUUAUAUUUUACCUUCGAAUGUAAAAACAUUUAAAAUCGGAGUUGAUUAUUAAAAAUGGUUCAGGUAUUUUAAUAGACACUGCAUUAUAAGUAUGACAUUAAUUAUUAAUUCCAUGGCAGAUUGUAAUUGUUAUACAGGUAUAUAGAAAUGAGGGCCUUAAACAGUUAAACUGAAGUUUCCUAUUAGUUACCCUAAGGUAAAAUUAUGCUGGUGACAAUGAUGGUUCACGUUGAAAAGAAUUAAGCUCUUUGGAGAUCCAAGUAAACAAACCUUUUUCCCUUUAAUAAAUACAAACAUCAAGAAGUC
rnacentral:lncRNA from 1 species